UACAGAGGUCCCAAGCGUUGUCCGGAUUCAUUGGGCGUAAAGAGCUCGUAGGCGGUUCGGCAAGUCGGGUGUGAAAACUCCAGGCUCAACCUGGAGACGCCACCCGAUACUGCUGUGACUUGAGUCCGGUAGGGGACCACGGAAUUCCUGGUGUAGCGGUGAAAUGCGCAGAUAUCAGGAGGAACACCGGUGGCGAAGGCGGUGGUCUGGGCCGGCACUGACGCUGAGGAGCGAAAGCGUGGGGAGCGAACAGG
rnacentral:rRNA from 1 species